CCUACGGGGUGCAGCAGUGGGGAAUAUUGGGCAAUGGGCGCAAGCCUGACCCAGCAAUGCCGCGUGAAGGAAGAAGGCUUUCGGGUUGUAAACUUCUUUGACAGGGGAAGAGCAGAAGACGGUACCCUGAAAACAAGCCACGGCUAACUACGUGCCAGCAGCCGCGGUAAUACGUAGGUGGCCAGCGUUGUCCGGAUUUACUGGGUGUAAAGGGCGUGUAGCCGGGAAGGCAAGUCAGAUGUGAAAUCUGGAGGCUCAACCUCCAAAUUGCAUUUGAAACUGUUUUUCUUGAGUACUGGAGAGGCAGACGGAAUUCCUUGUGUAGCGGUGAAAUGCGUAGAUAUAAGGAGGAACACCAGUGGCGAAGGCGGUCUGCUGGACAGCAACUGACGGUGAGGCGCGAAAGCGUGGGGAGCAAACAGGAUUAGAUACCCCGGUAGUC
rnacentral:rRNA from 1 species